UAUUUGUGCCACUAAUCAUUGUAACCCUUUUUGUUUUGGGGCCGAAUAAGUUCUUAAAAAUAGCAAUAAACAUACACAUGUGCACGCAUGUGCUUUUUCUUCAGGACUAUAGAGUUAACAUCUUCCUGAGACAAAAAUGGAAUGACCCCAGGCUGAAGCUCCCCAGUGAUUUUAGGGGUUCAGAUGCACUGACAGUGGAUCCAACGAUGUACAAGUGUUUAUGGAAACCUGAUUUAUUUUUUGCAAAUGAAAAAAGUGCCAAUUUUCAUGAUGUAACCCAGGAAAACAUCCUCCUCUUUAUUUUUCGUGAUGGAGAUGUCCUUGUCAGUAUGAGGUUAUCUAUUACUCUUUCAUGCCCUUUGGACUUGACAUUGUUUCCCAUGGAUACACAACGUUGCAAGAUGCAACUGGAGAGCUUUGGUUACACAACUGAUGAUUUACGAUUUAUCUGGCAGUCAGGAGAUCCUGUGCAAUUAGAAAAAAUUGCCUUGCCUCAAUUUGAUAUCAAA
rnacentral:sRNA from 1 species